rnacentral:rRNA from 1 species
AUUGAACGCUGGCGGCAGGCUUAACACAUGCAAGUCGAGCGGAGAUGAGGUGCUUGCACCUUAUCUUAGCGGCGGACGGGUGAGUAAUGCUUAGGAAUCUGCCUAUUAGUGGGGGACAACAUUCCGAAAGGGAUGCUAAUACCGCAUACGUCCUACGGGAGAAAGCAGGGGAUCUUCGGACCUUGCGCUAAUAGAUGAGCCUAAGUCGGAUUAGCUAGUUGGUGGGGUAAAGGCCUACCAAGGCGAUGAUCUGUAGCGGGUCUGAGAGGAUGAUCCGCCAAACUGGGACUGGGACACGGCCCAGGCUCCGACGGGAGGGAGCAGUGGGGAAUAUUGGACAAUGGGGGGAACCCUGAUCCAGCCAUGCCGCGUGUGUGAAGAAGGCCUUAUGGUUGUAAAGCACUUUAAGCGAGGAGGAGGCUACUGAGACUAAUACUCUUGGAUAGUGGACGUUACUCGCAGAAUAAGCACCGGCUAACUCUGUGCCAGCCGCCGCGGUAACAC